GGCCGGUUUAGCCUCAGUUGGUUAGAGGUGGUGCUAAUAACGCCAAGGUCACAGGUUCAACCCUGAACGGGCCA